CCCCAGAGAGUUGAGUUCAGUUCAGAGCAGCUUCCCUGUUCUGUUAACUAAACUUUGUGACAUUGAAUGUAGUUAAGGGAAAUGACUGAAUAGAGAAUAUUACUCUUCAUAUACUUCCUAGUCGAUACCA
ensembl:snoRNA Gm25410 small nucleolar RNA SNORA36 family